GGGCCCGCACAAGCGGCGGAGCAUGUGGAUUAAUUCGAUGCAACGCGAAGAACCUUACCUGGGCUUGACAUGGACUAGAAAGCUCUAGAGAUAGAGCCUCCCUUGUGGCUGGUUCACAGGUGGUGCAUGGCUGUCGUCAGCUCGUGUCGUGAGAUGUUGGGUUAAGUCCCGCAACGAGCGCAACCCUCGUUCCAUGUUGCCAGCACGUAAUGGUGGGGACUCAUGGGAGACUGCCGGGGUCAACUCGGAGGAAGGUGGGGAUGACGUCAAGUCAUCAUGCCCCUUAUGUCCAGGGCUUCACACAUGCUACAAUGGCCGGUACAAAGGGCUGCUAAGCCGUGAGGUGGAGCGAAUCCCAUAAAGCCGGUCUCAGUUCGGAUCGGGAUCUGCAACUCGACCCCGUGAAGUCGGAGUCGCUAGUAAUCGCAGA
rnacentral:rRNA from 1 species